rnacentral:rRNA from 1 species
UUUAGUGGCGGACGGGUUAGUAACGCGUGGGAACGUGCCUUUCACUACGGAAUAGUCCCGGGAAACUGGGUUUAAUACCGUAUACGCCCUUCGGGGGAAAGAAUUUCGGUGAAAGAUCGGCCCGCGUUAGAUUAGAUAGUUGGUGGGGUAAUGGCCUACCAAGUCUACGAUCUAUAGCUGGUUUUAGAGGAUGAUCAGCAACACUGGGACUGAGACACGGCCCAGACUCCUACGGGAGGCAGCAGUGGGGAAUCUUGGACAAUGGGCGCAAGCCUGAUCCAGCCAUGCCGCGUGAGUGAUGAAGGCCUUAGGGUCGUAAAGCUCUUUCAACGGUGAAGAUAAUGACGGUAGCCGUAGAAGAAACCCCGGCUAACUCCGUGCCAGCAGCCGCGGUAAUACGGAGGGGGUUAGCGUUGUUCGGAAUUACUGGGCGUAAAGCGCGCGUAGGCGGAUUGGAAAGUAUGGGGUGAAAUCCCAGGGCUCAACCCUGGAACUGCCUCAUAAACUCCCAGUCUUGAGUUCGAGAGAGGUGAGUGGAACUCCGAGUGUAGAGGUGAAAUUCGUAGAUAUUCGGAAGAACACCAGUGGCGAAGGCGGCUCACUGGCUCGAUACUGACGCUGAGGUGCGAAAGUGUGGGGAGCAAACAGGAUUAGAUACCCUGGUAGUCCACACCGUAAACGAUGAAUGCCAGUCGUCGGG